AUUUACAAUUUAGAAAUCUAAACAUAAUGUGACUGUCAACACUGAGGUUGGAGAUUGACAUUUGACAGACUUUUGGUGGGAACAUAUCUUCCUUUUUCCCUUCCUCUAAGUCUCGGAAAUCUAAAGUUUUAGAUUUGAAUAAAUAUAGGCAAGACUCAUAAAUUAGGUCGCCAAAAAAGUUUCACUUCUGACAUGUGUACUUUGCACGCACGCACUUUUUUUUUCUACUUAUGCCUUGAGAGACUAUUUCAGCUUCGCCCUUAUGUCUAGGUGAGCUCAAGGGGCUCAAACCGGGUGUGUUGCUAAGACUGGCAAGAGCAGUGCUUCGCAGAAUGUACCACCGGACCGGAAACGCGAUUCACUAAGAAGAUCCGGCGAGAAACUCAGUGGGUUAUAUAUAUGGGUUAAUUUACUCAUCGAGCUCUUCGCCGCAACCGACGGAUUCAGCGAGAACCUUAGAGUAUACAUAAGCAAGCUAGUAUACAUUCUAUAAGGCGAGAACGGUGACCGGUAGCUAAAAGCACUCCUACUGGAUCGGGAGGAUCCGUAAUGUCGUGCUUAGGGCGACGUCGACUGUUUAUCAUUCGGUCCAAAGGAUCUGGUAGCUGAUACAAUCGAAAAUAUUUGACACCUGAAGGGCACGACCUUCAGAAAUAAAAAAACAUGAUCAAGAAAACAGAUACAUAAGCAUGUAGUUAUUGUCGCUCAUAGACGUCAGCAAUGCUAGGGGCACAGUUAAACCGCUGCCUAUUGCUAUUAACAUAGUAGCCACACAGCCUACAGAAGCAAAUAUUUUGUAGCAAAAGUAGAAUCCAUGUCUUGUAUGAAAAGUAAAAUGCAAUGAAACACAAUGCAAUGAAAUAAUUGAUUGCGGAAAAAAUAUAUAAAAUAUAAUGUAAAUAAACGAGUAAAGUUGUCUUGAGUAAAAUUCUCAGAAAAAUUGAGAUUGAUUUACUAAUCGAAAUCUCAGUUAGAAGCUGUCCAUCAUACUGGAACCUUAGAUUGCUUCGCGGCAGAAAUAGGCAGUUUGUUGGUAACUACCCGGACUACCGCCAUUACAACCUACCACCAAUAAAUUUCGGUUGGAAUAGGAUACUUAGAAUUGUUAGAGAACGCUAUUGAGAGAGAACGCCAUUCACCGAUGUAUUUCUUUAGUCACUCUUUAUUACACCCACGGGAAGAGAUACGGUGUAUUAAGUAUGUAUUUUCUUCUUCAAUAACUGUAUGUCUUAUUAAACAUCAAUAAGGUAUGACGUACAUAACACGUGUUGCAAAUGAUGUGACAAUAAAAACCAGCAGCGUAACGACAAGUUCUUUUAUUUGUGCGAGAAUGCAGAAAGCAGGUAGAAAUGGCUGGCACGGCUUGUUUUAUUAACACUAUCCCCCCUUCGUUGGCUUUGGUUGGCGGCGGCGGCGGUGGCUGUGGCGGAAGGGGGCGUGUUAAUAUGGCUUGGCGGCUUGGCUGGCAGCAGGGCAUGACAGCUGACGUCACGUCCGUUACACACGCAAUUAUGUCAUCACCAUGCUGUUCUCAGUGUAUUUCAUAGAGGGGUUCUUAAAAAUAUAAUGCCGCCAACAUGAAUCGUGUUGAAACUUCAAUUGAAUGAAAACAAUGGUGGUCAAGUCUUGCCGAUUAGGCUGGAAUGUAUACGUGGUGAUAACAAGCAAGCCGGUUUUAUUCCGGCUACCUAUUAUACUAUUUGAUAUAAAUUUUACACAUACCUACUGUAAUAAAUAGAACUUUAUAAAUAAAUUUCAAUAAGUUACAUACCAUAAACUAAGACUGAAUAGAUCAUUAUGGCUUAAACUUGACAUAGUGUAUGACAAUUUUAAUAAAAACAAAAUGGUGUCUUGUUUGAAAAUUAUGUUUUUGAUAAAAAUGUUGUUCUGCAAA